rnacentral:rRNA from 1 species
CCUACGGGAGACUGCAGUGGGGAAUAUUGCGCAAUGGGCGAAAGCCUGACGCAGCGACGCCGCGUGAGGGAUGAAGGUCUUCGGAUCGUAAACCUCUGUCAGCAGGGAAGAACGGUCACGGUGCUAAUCAGCAGUGAAUGGACGGUACCAGCAAAGGAAGCACCGGCUAACUCCGUGCCAGCAGCCGCGGUAAGACGGAGGGUGGGAGCGUUAAUCGGAAUUACUGGGCGUAACGCGCUCGUAGGCGGUAUGUCAAGUCAAGGGUGAAAUCCCCGCGCUCAACGUGGGAACUGCCUUUGAAACUGGCAACCUGGUGUGUGUGAGAGGCUAGUGGAAUUCCGGGUGUAGCCGU